ACUGAUGCCACGCUUCCAGGAAAAGCCUCUAAGCUUCAGAUCAUGUGCGACCUUAGUUGCCAGCAUUUAGUUGGGCACUCUAAGGUGACUGCCGGUGAUAAACCGGAGGAAGGUGGGGACGACGUCAAAUCAUCAUGCCCCUUAUGUCUUGGGCUUCACGCAUGCUACAAUGGCCGGUACAAUGGGUUGCGAUACUGUGAGGUGGAGCUAAUCCCUAAAAGCCGGUCUCAGUUCGGAUCGAAGUCUGCAACUCGACUUCGUGAAGUUGGAGUCGCUAGUAAUCGCAGAUCAGCAACGCUGCGGUGAAUACGUUCCCGGGCCUUGUACAC
rnacentral:rRNA from 1 species